rnacentral:rRNA from 1 species
GGGGAGUGAAAUAGAACCUGAAACCGUGUACGUACAAGCAGUAGGAGCAGGCUUUGUCCUGUGACUGCGUACCUUUUGUAUAAUGGGUCAGCGACUUAUAUUCAGUGGCAAGGUUAACCAUCUAGGGGAGCCGUAGGGAAACCGAGUCUUAACUGGGCGUUCAGUCUCUGGAUAUAGACCCGAAACCAGGUGAUCUAGCCAUGGGCAGGUUGAAGGUUGAGUAACAUCAACUGGAGGACCGAACCGACUAAUGUUGAAAAAUUAGCGGAUGACUUGUGGCUAGGGGUGAAAGGCCAAUCAAACCUGGAGAUAGCUGGUUCUCCCCGAAAGCUAUUUAGGUAGCGCCUCGGACGAAUACUACUGGGGGUAGAGCACUGUUAAGGCUAGGGGGUCAUCCCGACUUACCAACCCUUUGCAAACUCCGAAUACCAGUAAGUACUAUCCGGGAGACACACGGCGGGUGCUAACGUCCGUCGUGGAGAGGGAAACAACCCAGACCGCCAGCUAAGGUCCCAAAUUACUACUAAGUGGGAAACGAUGUGGGAAGGCUCAGACAGCCAGGAUGUUGGCUUAGAAGCAGCCAUCAUUUAAAGAAAGCGUAAUAGCUCACUGGUCGAGUCGGCCUGCGCGGAAGAUGUAACGGGGCUAAGUAGUAAACCGAAGCUGCGGCAAUGUGCUUUUGCACAUUGGGUAGGGGAGCGUUCUGUAAGCGGUUGAAGGUGUGUGGUAACGCAUGCUGGACGUAUCAGAAGUGCGAAUGCUGACAUGAGUAACGAUAAAGGGGGUGAAAAACCUCCUCGCCGGAAGACCAAGGGUUCCUGUCCAACGUUAAUCGGGGCAGGGUAAGUCGACCCCUAAGGCGAGGCCGAAAGGCGUAGUCGAUGGGAAACGGGUUAAUAUUCCCGUACUUCUUACAAUUGCGAUGGGGGGACGGAGAAGGCUAGGUGGGCCUGGCGACGGUUGUCCAGGUUCAAGUGCGUAGGCUUAAGAGUUAGGUAAAUCCGGCUCUUUUUAAGGCUGAGACACGACGUCGAGCAUCUACGGAUGUGAAGUCAUUGAUGCCAUGCUUCCAGGAAAAGCCUCUAAGCUUCAGAUUGUAAGGAAUCGUACCCCAAACCGACACAGGUGGUCGGGUAGAGAAUACCAAGGCGCUUGAGAGAACUCGGGUGAAGGAACUAGGCAAAAUGGUACCGUAACUUCGGGAGAAGGUACGCUCUCGACGGUGAAGUCCCUCGCGGAUGGAGCUAUUGAGAGUCGCAGAUACCAGGUGGCUGCAACUGUUUAUUAAAAACACAGCACUGUGCAAAAUCGUAAGAUGACGUAUACGGUGUGACGCCUGCCCGGUGCCGGAAGGUUAAUUGAUGGGGUUAGACUUCGGUCGAAGCUCUUGAUCGAAGCCCCGGUAAACGGCGGCCGUAACUAUAACGGUCCUAAGGUAGCGAAAUUCCUUGUCGGGUAAGUUCCGACCUGCACGAAUGGCGUAAUGAUGGCCACGCUGUCUCCACCCGAGACUCAGUGAAAUUGAAAUCGCUGUGAAGAUGCAGUGUACCCGCGGCUAGACGGAAAGACCCCGUGAACCUUUACUACAGCUUGGCACUGAACAUUGACCCUACAUGUGUAGGAUAGGUGGGAGGCUUUGAAGCACGUACGCCAGUAUGUGUGGAGCCGUCCUUGAAAUACCACCCUUGUAGUGUUGAUGUUCUAACGUCGACCCCUUAUCGGGGUUGCGGACAGUGCCUGGUGGGUAGUUUGACUGGGGCGGUCUCCUCCCAAAGAGUAACGGAGGAGCACGAAGGUGGGCUAAUCACGGUUGGACAUCGUGAGGUUAGUGCAAUGGCAUAAGCCCGCUUGACUGCGAGAAUGACAAUUCGAGCAGGUGCGAAAGCAGGUCAUAGUGAUCCGGUGGUUCUGAAUGGAAGGGCCAUCGCUCAACGGAUAAAAGGUACUCCGGGGAUAACAGGCUGAUACCGCCCAAGAGUUCAUAUCGACGGCGGUGUUUGGCACCUCGAUGUCGGCUCAUCACAUCCUGGGGCUGAAGUCGGUCCCAAGGGUAUGGCUGUUCGCCAUUUAAAGUGGUACGCGAGCUGGGUUUAGAACGUCGUGAGACAGUUCGGUCCCUAUCUGCCGUGGGCGUUGGAAGAUUGAAGGGGGCUGCUCCUAGUACGAGAGGACCGGAGUGGACGAACCUCUGGUGUUCGGGUUGUGUCGCCAGACGCAUUGCCCGGUAGCUAAGUUCGGAAUCGAUAACCGCUGAAAGCAUCUAAGCGGGAAGCGAGCCCUGAGAUGAGUCUUCCCUGAUACUUUAAGUAUCCUAAAGGGUUGUCGGAGACUACGACGUUGAUAGGCAGGUGUGUAAGUGCUGUGAGGCAUUGAGCUAACUGAUACUAAUUGCCCGUGAGGCUUAACCAUACAACACCUAAGGGGUUU